UACAGUGGGUGCGAGCGUUAAUCGGAAUUACUGGGCGUAAAGCGCGCGUAGGCGGCUUUGCAAGUCGGGUGUGAAAUCCCCAGGCUUAACCUGGGAACUGCAUUCGAGACUGCAUUGCUAGAGUAUGGGAGAGGGAAGUGGAAUUUCCGGUGUAGCGGUGAAAUGCGUAGAUAUCGGAAGGAACAUCAGUGGCGAAAGCGACUUCCUGGACCAAUACUGACGCUCAUGUGCGAAAGCGUGGGGAGCAAACAGG
rnacentral:rRNA from 1 species